rnacentral:rRNA from 1 species
GACGAACGCUGGCGGCGUGCUUAACACAUGCAAGUCGAACGGCAACGCCCUGCUUGUGUGCGGUUCCCGAUUGCCGAACGGGUGAGUAACACGUGAGUAACCUGCCCUUGACUUUGGGAGAACUUCAGGAAAGUGAGGCUAAGAUCGUAUAGGAUCCCCUGCUCCAUGGAGGGGGUUGGAAAUUCUCGGCUGUUGGGGAUGGAUGCGCGGCUUAUCAGCUUGUUGGUUGGCUAGUUGUUUACCAAGGCUUUGAACGGUAGCCGGCCUGAGAGGGUGACCGGCAACCAUGGGACUGAGGUAGGGCGCAGACUCGUACGGGAGGCAGCAGUGGGGAAUAUUGCACAGUGGGAGGGAGUCGGAGGAAGAAGCGCCGCGUGCGGGAUGACCGUUUUCGGGUUGUAAACAGCUUCAGCCUGUGACGAAGCGUGAGUGACGGUAAUGGAUAAAGAAGCACCGGCUAACUACGUG